rnacentral:rRNA from 1 species
AUGCAACAUGCCCCCAAGCUCCGCCCCGCCCUCCCCUUCGUCCAGAUCCAUGCCUCAAGGUCUGCACCCUUGCCCGCGGCUAGGGAUUCGGGCGCCCCCGUGUUCUUGCCGCCGAGUGCCCAGGUCGGCCCGCUGGCCAACGAGCAGCACCCCGCACCUGCGCGUGCCCAGGCAGACGAGCAGUAUGGGGAUUGGCCGCGGACGGGGACAAGUGCAGGCGCGGCAGCAGGAGAAGCUGUGGCGGCGGCGGAUCUGGUGACCGCCGGGUCGGCUCGUCGUUCGUGGCCGGCCGGAAUCGCGCUUGGAGUAGUCGGUUCCGGUCCAUCUACUACUCGUGACUGGGAAGGAAGGAUCAUGUCGUUGAUAGUUCAGCAUUACAAGCAACAACCACUGAGCCAUGAGAGUCUUUCUAGAUGGUACUCUAUCUACAUACUCUUACAAGAAAAAACCAACGAGUUAUGUUCAAAAUGA